rnacentral:sRNA from 1 species
CAUCCUCGAUCUGCUGAGGGCAGAUGAAGUGAAUAUGUGAAUCAAACCCGCCAGCGGUCAGGAUGCGACCUUCACCCGCGAUAGCUUCGGUACCGGGGCCAACAAUAAUGUCGACACCCGGUUGAGUGUCAGGAUUGCCUGCUUUGCCAAUCUUGUGAAUGCGCCCGUCACGCAGGCCCACAUCGGCUUUGUAAAUGCCCGAAUGAUCAACGAUCAGUGCAUUGGUGAUGACGGUAUCAACAGCACCCGCAGCACGGGUUGCUUGCGAUUGCCCCAUGCCAUCGCGGAUG